rnacentral:lncRNA from 1 species
UGUCUUCCUCUAGUUUUGAUAUGCAAGCUUCACUUUCCAUGUUCAUCGCACACGCCAUUAGACCCAUAUAUUUACAUCUCUUUGUGAGAUUCACAAGUCAUGAUUGGGGAUUUACAUGAAGCAGGAAUUUCUAAUGUAACUGAAAGAAAAGGAAUGACUGAAAUAGAAGUUGUCAAAGUCAAAAAGAUAAAACCUCAAAGGCUAUUCACGUUUUUCCUUCUCAUACCUCUCCACCAUCUACAGGAGUCAUCUCUUCUUUCUUUCUCCUCUAGUCCUUCCAUAGUGCGUCAUCCAUACUCCUAUAGAAACCUUGUGAUCAACUAACUAUUCAUGUACCAGUCAGUAGAACCAACCAAUGACUAUAAACGUAAUUACUAAUUAUAGGAAGCUCGAGAGUAUAGAAAACAAAUAAAUUAAUAAACUUUCAGAUUUUUCACCUUAUUUAGUUGUUAGUUGAAAAAAACACACGUUAGCAAUAUCAAGUAUUUUGUUAUAUGUUUGAUGUGGUUGUAGGCUUGACACACCAUAGUUAAAAUCAUAGAUUUGGAAUCAAUGUAUUUUAAUUUUAGAAGUACGGUGAAUAUAUACACACACUUACUUAUGGUUUGGGAGAUAUUUGAUACAUAUGGGAAUAUUUUAAGCCUACGUGAGAUUCAUAUACAUGCAAAUAUAGUGAUUCGAUACAAAGGAGCGAAAUUUUAGGAUUUUUGAUUCCUCUCUCUCGCUGGUUUUGAUGGUUUUGGAGUCCAUCUUUCACAAAGGCCAACUCUAUCAUUGGCUGGCGCCGCUUCGUUUGGGGACCUGUUAGGAUUAUAGUAGGGUUUCCUCCGCUCCAAAUCUCCCUCUUGUAGGAGCAACAGGUACAACUUUCCUUUUUCAUAGUUUUUUCCCUUCACAGUUCCUUUGCCUGUCCCCGGUAAUGGUCUUUUCGUCCGUUGUGUUGUGUAAUAUAUUAACAUAUAAUUUUUUUACGCUUUUGCGUUUUUUUAGUGAUGUGACGAUGAUGUAUAUGGACCGUGUGUUCUCAAUUGUAUACUUUCAAAGGAACUAGUACCAUUCGUAUUGUUGAGAGGAUAAACACACAAGCGUUUAAAGUUUUUAACAUUGAUGAAGGGGUAGUAAACACGCGCUGCAAAAAGGUGAGACAAGGUAAAGCCGAGAGACGAGUGGUAUUAAGUUCGCUCAAAAAUAAAGUUAUAAAACCAGGGAAGCAAAGGCGGCCCGGGAAAAAAAAGAACCCAUCGCGGCCACCCGCCUCGUUCGCUUCCAUCCUCUCCGCAGUCCGCACCCGCGCGCGCGCGCUCGACUCCCGCACCAGCCGCGUCAUGGCGCCAUUCCAGCUGCGCUUCGGCCUCCGGAUGUCCCCCUCGCGCUCCUCCGACGAGGAGGAGGAAGACGACGAGGACGAGGAAGGGUUCGAGUACGAGGAGAUACUGAGCGACGACGGGACGGACUCGCCGCCGCCGCUGAUGAUGCAGGCGGAGAAGGGAGGGGGAGGGCUGGUCGGGGCGGUGGUGGGGGCGCUGCGGAGGUCGCUGGUGAUGUGCAGCGCCGGGAAGGUCGGGGAGGAGGAGGACAGCGAGGACGAGGAAGAGGAGGGGAUGGAGAUCGGGCGGCCCACGGACGUGCGGCACGUCUCCCACGUCACCUUCGACCGCUUCGGCGGCUUCCUCGGCCUCCCCGCCGACCUCGAGCCCGAAGUUCCCAGCCCCACGCCCAGCGCCAGGUGAGCUCGCCGGCGCUAACUCUCUGCAAUUCCUCUGUUUCUUCUACUCUUCGGUCUCUCUCUUUCAGUUUUCUGAGGAUUUUACCUGAAAGAAGCUAGUAGCUACGUACUCUACAUACCCAAAUAUUCUUUGGUACUUGUAUUUUUCAAUUUCACGCAGUGUAUUUUUCAAUUUCACGCAGAAAUAUGUGUUAGUAAAUUUGUUGUUUUAUCCUUCUCUGUUCUGUGUUCUCCAAUGCAAUUAGCGUAUAACCUCUUUACAAAAUAUAUUGUGUUCAUAGAAAGGCUCCCAAGAAAGUUGAUAGUACUAAUAUGAUGUUUCAGAACGAUGAUAGUGAGCUUUGGUUUCUUUUCUAGUAUGUUUAGUUGAUCGCUCAGAUGAUACAGGGUAGAAAGAGGGCGAUUUGUUUAAGGAUGUAAGAUUAAUUUAUUCCACAAGUGGAUCUAGUAAUUAAAAAAGGACAAGUAGUACCUUUUUAAUAAAAAGUUCAGUUCUUAAUUCUAGUAUGCGGUUAUAUAGUUAGAUUGCUGAGUCAAGAAGUACAUGCCAUCAAACAAGGAAUGGAAGUAUGGAACACUAUGAAGGUAUGUGAAGGUAUACGAUUCUGAAGAUAUAUGAGGGCAUAAGAGAAGAAUAACUCAUAUGUAGGAUUUGGUACAAUACUACCAUAUGACGGCCAUGGGUUGAACUUUCAACGGAUCAGACUUGAGUUACUUCGUUCUGUGCUUGAGCUUUAAGCAACGGGGCUGUUUGAGGUGGUUGGCCAGCAUGAGCAACAAAUGGGAAUCUUCAAACCUAUCUUUUUUAUUUUGGAUUAGUUCUCCUGUACUUUGCAUCAUCAUAUAUAGUAAUGUUCUGUGAAGUUUGUCCUUUUGCAUUUACAAAUAUCAUUUACACCAUCUUUUUAAGGUUGUUAACGUCAAAUCAGUAUUUGAUGUACAACCUAGUUAAAUGAGCUAGGAAUAUAAGACAUUGUCCUGUUGCUACUGCUGUUAUGUCAUAAUCUCUUUUUUACCCCUUUAACUUGUAGUGGUUACAGAAGUGAAGAUUCAAAGUUUAUUCACCUUAACUACGAUCCUUCCCUCCUUUUUCUUUUUCUUUUUUACCGUGAAACAGUAGGGGAGGCCUCUACCGUAUAUUAAUUUUCGAAAAGUUUAUGUACAUGAUACUUAACAAUUUCCAUGUCUAAUUUUCCAUGCAGUGUAAAUGUAUUUGGUGUUUCACCAACCUCUUUGCAAUGUUCAUUUGAUCACAAAGGAAAUAGCGUGCCCACAAUACUGUUGAUGAUGCAGAGGAAGUUGUAUGAACGAGAGGGACUUAAGGUAUGGCCACCGCAACCUAACGAUUAGCAUUAGAAAAGUCAGUAUUCAAGCCUUCGGAAUACUUAUCCAUUGUGUUCUUACUUCUUAGAUCGAAGGGAUCUUCAGAAUUAACGCAGAGAAUAGCCAGGAAAUCUGUGUCAGGAAACAACUAAACAGUGGUGUGGUUCCAGAUGAGGUUGACUUACACUGCCUUGCAGGGUUGAUAAAGGUAGCAUGAACUUCCUCAUCUCUCCUUAAUUUUUCCGGUCCACGGCCUGAGCUGUAUGAGGCAAAAAAGAUCGUUAUUAUUUAUCGGCAAUUUGCUCUUGUUUGUUUAGUUUUUCAGUACUGAGCAUUACCUCAGAUUGACAGACGACUAGGCAGUUGCAUCUAUGUAUGUGCAUCCCCUUUUUAUGCAAUCUGAACAUUUCAGAACCUGAAAUGUUUGCAGACAUGAAGGAAUACAGAAUAAUUGGUGCAAGGAACAGUACUUUUUAAGUAAAAAGUCGAAUAAGUAUUUGCAGGCAACUGACUAUUAGAUGUGCAUGCUAUUAGUCAUAUUUCUUGUACAUGGGUUAUUGGCUUACUGGAGGAUCUAUUCCAUGAUCACUAUAUUCCCUUUUUAUAGGCAUGGUUUCGGGAACUCCCAACCGGUGUAUUGGACUCACUGACACCGGAACAAGUAAUGCAUUGCAACACAGAAGAGGACUGUGCUCUCCUUGCUUCAAUGCUACCACCAGUGGAAGCCGCAUUACUCGAUUGGGCUAUCAAUCUGAUGGCUGAUGUUGUGGAGCAUGAAAACUACAACAAGAUGAAUGCUAGAAACAUCGCUAUGGUCUUUGCGCCAAACAUGACUCAGGUAUUAGAAACAACUCUGGAUUCUUUCGUUAGAAAAGCAUACACAUACACUAACCUGCAAUGUUUGUUUUCCAGAUGGCCGAUCCAUUGACUGCCCUGAUACAUGCAGUUCAGGUCAUGAAUUUCC